rnacentral:rRNA from 1 species
UAGGGAAUCUUCCGCAAUGGGCGAAAGCCUGACGGAGCAAUGCCGCGUGAGUGAAGAAGGCCUUCGGGUCGUAAAACUCUGUUAUAAGAGAAGAACAAAUUGUAGAGUAACUGCUACAGUCUUGACGGUAUCUUAUCAGAAAGCCACGGCUAACUACGUGCCAGCAGCCGCGGUAAUACGUAGGUGGCAAGCGUUGUCAGGAUUUAUUGGGCGUAAAGGGAGCGCAGGUGGUUUCUUAAGUCUGAUGUGAAAGCCCACGGCUUAACCGUGGAGGGUCAUUGGAAACUGGGAAACUUGAGUACAGAAGAGGAAUGUGGAACUCCAUGUGUAGCGGUGGAAUGCGUAGAUAUAUGGAAGAACACCAGUGGCGAAGGCGACAUUCUGGUCUGUUACUGACACUGAGGCUCGAAAGCGUGGGGAGCAAACAGG